GAUGAACGCUGGCGGCGUGCCUAACACAUGCAAGUCGAGCGAUUCUCUUCGGAGAAGAGCGGCGGACGGGUGAGUAACGCGUGGGUAACCUGCCCUGUACACACGGAUAACAUACCGAAAGGUAUGCUAACACGGGAUAAUAUGUUUUGAUCGCAUGGACGAAAUAUCAAAGCUCCGGCGGUAUAGGAUGGACCCGCGUCUGAUUAGCUAGUUGGUGAGGUAAUGGCUCACCAAGGCGACGAUCAGUAGCCGACCUGAGAGGGUGAUCGGCCACAUUGGAACUGAGACACGGUCCAAACUCCUACGGGAGGCAGCAGUGGGGAAUAUUGCACAAUGGGCGAAAGUCUGAUGCAGCAACGCCGCGUGAGCGAUGAAGGCCUUCGGGUCGUAAAGCUCUGUCCUCAAGGAAGAUAAUGACGGUACUUGAGGAGGAAGCCCCGGCUAACUACGUGCCAGCCGCCGCGGUAAAAC
rnacentral:rRNA from 1 species